AGAGUUUGAUCAUGGCUCAGAUUGAACGCUGGCGGCAUGCCUAACACAUGCAAGUCGAACGGUAACAGGCCGCAAGGUGCUGACGAGUGGCGGACGGGUGAGUAAUACGUAGGUAUCUGCCCUGUAGUGGGGGAUAACCCGGGGAAACUCGGGCUAAUACCGCAUACGCUCUUUUAUCGUUGAGAUAGGAGAGGAAAGCGAGGGACCGAAAGGCCUCGCGCUAGAGGAUGAGCCUACGCCCGAUUAGCUAGUUGGUAGGGUAAAAGCCUACCAAGGCGACGAUCGGUAGCUGGUCUGAGAGGAUGGCCAGCCACACUGGGACUGAGACACGGCCCAGACUCCUACGGGAGGCAGCAGUGGGGAAUAUUGGACAAUGGGGGAAACCCUGAUCCAGCGAUGCCGCGUGGGUGAAGAAGGCCUGCGGGUUGUAAAGCCCUUUCAGUGGGGAAGAAAAACGGGGUGUGAAAAGCGCUUCGUCUUGACGUUACCCACAGAAGAAGCACCGGCUAACUCCGUGCCAGCAGCCGCGGUAAUACGGAGGGUGCGAGCGUUAAUCGGAAUUACUGGGCGUAAAGGGCGCGUAGGCGGUUAGGUAAGUCGAGUGUGAAAGCCCUGGGCUUAACCUGGGAAUGGCAUUCGAGACUACCUAUCUAGAGUCUGGUAGAGGGAAGUGGAAUUUCCGGUGUAGCGGUGAAAUGUGUAGAUAUCGGAAGGAACACCAGUGGCGAAGGCGACUUCCUGGACCAAGACUGACGCUGAGGCGCGAAAGCGUGGGGAUCAAACAGGAUUAGAUACCCCCGUAGUCC
rnacentral:rRNA from 1 species